rnacentral:rRNA from 1 species
AUAAAUAGUUCUGUAACAAAACAAUUCGCCAGAGAACUACUAGCAACAGCUUAAAACUCAAAGGACUUGGCGGUGCUUUAUAUCCCUCUAGAGGAGCCUGUUCUAUAAUCGAUAAACCCCGAUAAACCUCACCAUCCCUUGCUAAUACAGUCUAUAUACCGCCAUCUUCAGCAAACCAAAG